UAAUGGUAGGACCCAAUGACUAUGGGGUGAUGCCUUGUAUAAGAGGCAGAGUCAGUGAAGAUCUUUUCUUUUUGUAGCACACAGGGAAGAGGCCACAGAGGCCACAGAAGAAAGGAAGCUGUCUGAAUGCCAGGAAGAGAAGACCCAUACAAAUACAACCUGACUAAUAUGGGCUUACAGCCAUUCCAGAUUCUCUCUACGAGGCUGGUUUUCAUCUUUCUAUAGUGUUACAAGCAUGAUGUCGCUCUCAAUGACUCCUUUGUAUAAAGAGCACAGAGAAGCAAGUGAGAAGCACAUCAUGUUGCUAAAACAGUUCAAACUAUUUUACUGACAUCAGCUCAGCAUGAAAAAAUGAAGUCUGUGAGACAGACACUGUCCUAGUGGACUACAGGAAAAUACUACAACAGGUGAAUGAAUCAGGAAUUUACAAUAGCCACAAGAUCGAAAUGAAGUCUCUGCUAAGUAGCUCAAGCAGGUGCAUUCAAUGCUGCUUUUUAUAUAAAAUUCAUAUCUUCUCUUUCAUUUGAGGAAAUGCAGCAUAGAGCUGGUUUCCCAGUUACAAAAGGAGACUUAUUUUUCUACAUUUUGAACACUGAGGAUGAGAUUCCACUCCGAUCAUGGUGUGAAUAUAAACCAGGAGGAUGCUGACUAGGUGACCAGGUGAUCAGGUCCCCAAACAAUCCUCAGACCGUCUCUUCUAUCCCUCAGACUGCUACCACAAGCUUCAGUGACCCUGCUUGGUAGAGCACAGCACUCAAUACUGAAAGUAAAUAUAAAGCCAAAAAGAUUACAGU
rnacentral:lncRNA from 1 species